AAUCAACGCUGGCGGCGUGCCUCAGACAUGCAAGUCGAACGAUUAAAGCUCUCUUCGGAGAGUGUAUAGAGUGGCGCACGGGUGAGUAACACGUAAGUAAUCUACCCUCGAGUGGGGAAUAACAACCGGAAACGGUUGCUAAUACCGCAUAAUGCAGCGGCACCGCAAGGUGACAGUUGUUAAAGAUUUAUCGCUUGAGGAGGAGCUUGCGGCAGAUUAGCUAGUUGGUAGGGUAACGGCUUACCAAGGCUACGAUCUGUAACCGGUCUAAGAGGACGGUCGGUCACACUGACACUGAAUAACGGGUCAGACUCCUACGGGAGGCAGCAGUCGGGAAUUUUGGGCAAUGGGCGAAAGCCUGACCCAGCAACGCCGCGUGAAGGAUGAAGUAUUUCGGUAUGUAAACUUCGAAAGAAUAGGAAGAAUUAAUGACGGUACUAUUUAUAAGGUCCGGCUACUACGUGACCAGCAGCCGCGGUAAU
rnacentral:rRNA from 1 species